rnacentral:sRNA from 1 species
GCUGGGCACAGUGGCUCAUACCUGUAAUCCCAACAGCUUGGAAGGCUGAGACCGGAGGAUCACUAGUUCAAAGUCAGCCUCAGCAACUUAGCAAGGCCCUAAGCCACUUAGUGAGACUCUGUCUCUA